rnacentral:rRNA from 1 species
UACGAAGGGUGCAAGCGUUACUCGGAAUUACUGGGCGUAAAGCGUGCGUAGGUGGUUUUUUAAGUCCGUUGUGAAAGCCCUGGGCUCAACCUGGGAAUGGCAGUGGAUACUGGAAAGCUAGAGUGCGGUAGAGGGUAGUGGAAUUCCCGGUGUAGCAGUGAAAUGCGUAGAGAUCGGGAGGAACACCAGCGGCGAAGGCGGCUACCUGGACCAGCACUGACACUGAGGCACGAAAGCGUGGGGAGCAAACAGGG